rnacentral:tRNA from 1 species
GCUCCGGUAGCUCAGCUGGAUAGAGCAUCGGCCUUCUAAGCCGAGGGUCGUGGGUUCGAGUCCCGCCCGGGGCGCCA